GGUACAAAGAAAGACACUGUUGCAAAUACCCGCCCAUACGCCCAUUUACACGCACAAGCUACGGAAGUUCACACCAGUUUUAUAUAAAUCACGCUGCUGCGUGUCAUCAUUUCAUUCUUCCUUUGGUCACCUUCAUUUUACCUCACAGUGUUUAUCAGCUUUUAAUCAGACCCAUGAUGGCAGCAGCAGAUCUCUCCAGACUGGUCCUCAUCUUCAGCCUGCUGUGUCUGGUCGGCUUCGCCAGCGCCCUGAUUGACAAGAGUGACCUGGAAAGGCUCAAAGAAAGUCAUGAAAAAGCACGACACCAUUUGGACAACCUGAAGGUCAGUUUGAAUGCAUAUAGCUUAUAUAAAAUGUCUCUGAUUACAUUGAGUAAAACACUCACUAAUAUGAUAAACCUUAUC